UACGUAGGGGGCAAGCGUUGUCCGGAUUUAUUGGGCGUAAAGAGCGUGUAGGCGGUUAGGUAGGUCCGUUGUGAAAACUCGAGGCUCAACCUCGAGACGCCGAUGGAAACCAUCUGACUAGAGUCCGGAAGAGGAGAGUGGAAUUCAUGGUGUAGCAGUGAAAUGCGUAGAGAUCAUGAGGAAGACCAGUGGCGAAGGCGGGUCUCUGGACAGUUCCUGACACUGAGGCACGAAGGCCAGGGGAGCAAACGGG
rnacentral:rRNA from 1 species